GACGAACGCUGGCGGCAGGCUUAACACAUGCAAGUCGAACGAGGUAGCAAUACCUAGUGGCGCACGGGUGCGUAACACGUAGCCAAUCUGCCCUGGAGUGGGGAAUAACCAUCCGAAAGGAUGGCUAAUACCGCAUAUUGAUAAGAGGUGGCAUCACCUUCUGUUGAAAGCUAUAUGCGCUCCGGGAUGAGGCUGCGGUGGAUUAGGUAGUUGGUAGGGAACGGCCUACCAAGCCGACGAUCCAUAGCUGGUCUGAGAGGAUGAUCAGCCACACUGGCACUGAGACACGGGCCAGACUCCUACGGGAGGCAGCAGUGAGGAAUAUUGCACAGUGGGGAAACCCUGAUGCAGCCACGCCGCGUGGAGGA
rnacentral:rRNA from 1 species